rnacentral:rRNA from 1 species
UUAUCCGGAUUUAUUGGGUUUAAAGGGAGCGUAGGCGGGUGCUUAAGUCAGUUGUGAAAGUUUGCGGCUCAACCGUAAAAUUGCAGUUGAUACUGGGUACCUUGAGUGCAGCAUAGGUAGGCGGAAUUCGUGGUGUAGCGGUGAAAUGCUUAGAUAUCACGAAGAACUCCGAUUGCGAAGGCAGCUUGCUGGACUGUAACUGACGCUGAUGCUCGAAAGUGUGGGUAUCAAACAGGAUUAGAUACCCUGGUAGUCCACACAGUAAACGAUGAAUACUCGCUGUUUGCGAUAUACAGUAAGCGGCCAAGCGAAAGCGUUAAGUAUUCCACCUGGGGAGUACGCCGGCAACGGUGAAACUCAAAGGAAUUGACGGGGGCCCGCACAAGCGGAGGAACAUGUGGUUUAAUUC